UACGGGGGGGCAAGCGUUGUUCGGGAUUACUGGGCGUAAAGGGCUCGUAGGCGGCCAACUAAGUCAUACGUGAAAUCCCUCGGCUUAACCGGGGAACUGCGUCUGAUACUGGAUGGCUUGAGAUUGGGAGAGGGAUGCGGAAUUCCAGGUGUAGCGGUGAAAUGCGUAGAUAUCUGGAGGAAUACCGGUGGCGAAGGCGGCAUCCUGGACCGACAUUGACGCUGAGGAGCGAAAGCUAGGGGAGCAAACGGG
rnacentral:rRNA from 1 species